rnacentral:misc_RNA from 1 species
CAACAUCCACGGGGCGUUUUCAACAUCCCAGGGCGUUGGGGCGCUACGGCGCUCGCCGUACGCCCCGAAAUACAGUGGCGGAUCCGCUGCAACCCCUCACGUAGUAACCUAUCGUGUAGGGGCAGUUGCGGGGCCUGCCCCUAAUCGCGACCCUGUAAUACGGGCGCCUUUCAU